UGAGGGAUCUUGCACAAUGGGGGCAACCCUGAUGCAGCGACGCCGCGUGGGUGAGGAAGGCCUUCGGGUCGUAAAGCCCUUUUCUGCGUGACGAGGAAGGACGGUAGCGCAGGAAGAAGCGUCGGCUAACUACGUGCCAGCAGCCGCGGUAAAACGUAGGACGCGAGCGUUAUCCGGAGUUACUGGGCGUAAAGGGCGUGCAGGCGGGGGCGGAAGUCACGCGUGAAAGUCUUCGGCUCAACCGGGGGAAGACGGGUGAGACUCCGCACCUAGAGGGCGCUAGAGGGACACGGAAUUCCGGGUGUAGUGGUGAAAUGCGUAGAGAUCCGGAGGAACACCAGUGGCGCAGGCGGUGUUCUGGGGGCGCACCUGACGCUGAGACGCGAAAGCAUGGGGAGCGAACGGGAUUAGAAACCCCGGUAGUCCAUGCCGUAAACGAUGCCGACUAGCGGUCUGGAGAGAUCUGGGUCGCGCAGCCAACGGCGAUAAGUCGGCCGCCU
rnacentral:rRNA from 1 species